AAGCCAAAGUGUUCUUUGAUGUUUUCAGGCAAAUUCCACAAAGGGUUUUAUGGAGAUAUACUGGACCCGUACCUGGAGAAGUACCCAAGAAUGUCAAACUUUUGAAGUGGCUUCCUCAAAAUGAUCUUUUAGGUCAUGCAAAGGUUAAACUC